UACGAAGGGGGCUAGCGUUGUUCGGAAUUACUGGGCGUAAAGCGUGCGCAGGCGGCUUCUCAAGUCAGGGGUGAAAGCCCAGAGCUCAACUCUGGAACUGCCUUUGAGACUGAGUGGCUUGAGUACGAGAGAGGUGAGUGGAAUUCCCAGUGUAGAGGUGAAAUUCGUAGAUAUUGGGAAGAACACCGGUGGCGAAGGCGGCUCACUGGCUCGUAACUGACGCUCAUGCACGACAGCGUGGGGAUCAAACAGG
rnacentral:rRNA from 1 species